rnacentral:tRNA from 1 species
UGUCCCAUAGCUCAAUUGGCAGAGCGCGUGGCUGUUAACCACGAUGUUGUAGGUUCGAUUACUGGGGCAG